rnacentral:rRNA from 1 species
UACGUAGGGUCCGAGCGUUGUCCGGAAUUACUGGGCGUAAAGAGCUCGUAGGCGGUUUGUCGCGUCUGCCGUGAAAAGUCCGGGGCUCAACUCCGGAUCUGCGGUGGGUACGGGCAGACUAGAGUGAUGUAGGGGAGACUGGAAUUCCUGGUGUAGCGGUGAAAUGCGCAGAUAUCAGGAGGAACACCGGUGGCGAAGGCGGGUCUCUGGGCAACUACUGACGCUGAGGAGCGAAAGCGUGGGGAGCGAACAGG